AUACGGAGGGUGCAAGCGUUAUUCGGAAUCACUGGGCGUAAAGGACGCGUAGGCGGGUUGGCAAGUCAGAUGUGAAAUCCUACAGCUUAACUGUAGAACUGCAUUUGAAACUGCUAACCUAGAGUAUGGGAGGGGGAUAUGGAAUUAGUGGUGUAGGGGUAAAAUCCGUAGAUAUCACUAGGAAUACCGAAAGCGAAGGCGAUCUCCUGGAACAUAACUGACGCUAAGGCGUGAAAGCGUGGGGAGCAAACAGGAUUAGAUACCCUAGUAGUCC
rnacentral:rRNA from 1 species